rnacentral:lncRNA from 1 species
CCUCUGCUGGUUUUCUUAAUUAUGUGUCAGAAAUCUUCCCAUUGCCAUUCAUGAAUCUGCUACUUUUAAAAUUUUUUUUACUGCUUCACAGUAAAUUUCAUAAUUUAUCUAUUUCUUUAAUUUAUAGAUACAUAACAUUUCCCCCGCCCCUUGUUAUUCUAAGCAUUAGUGCACUGAACAUCCUUAUACAUAUUUCCUUCACUUAGGAUAUAUGUAAAGAUAUGUGCUUUUUAAAUCUUAGUCGUAAAUGUCAGAUUACCAUUUAAAUGAGGUACAACAAUUUACACACCCAGUAAUAGGUGUGUGUGUGGGGGGGGGCGCUCAUUUCCUCCCAUUUGAGCCAAGGUGGAAGCUAAAUUGGAAUUGCGAUAGCUAGCUGGUGGUCCUCACCUCCAAACUUUCGUGCCUUUGUAUGGUGUCCUUUCCACACCAUAGAGCUGGCCUGUGUGGGUGGUGAAAGUGACUGGUAUUUCUGAGGCUGGGCUUUGGCUCUCUUUGCUCAUUCUUCAGGAAGCCAGUUGCCAUGCCACCAGGACAGUCAAGGUCUGUGGAGAGGAACCAGAUCAGCUUCCAACUUGCCAGGUGUUGAAAUGGACCUUCCAGCCCAAGUCAAGCCUUAAAAGAUUGCAGAAUUGUGAGAAUGAGACAUCCCAAGACUGAACUGCCCAGCUAGACCCCUACUGAUUUCCUAAUAUAUGCAGAAACCAUGAGAGGAAAUAAAUGAUUUUUUAAAAUA